rnacentral:rRNA from 1 species
AUUGUAAUAAAAGAGUUUGAUCCUGGCUCAGAAUGAACGUUAAUGGUUAGCUUAAUACAUGCAAGUUGGAUUAAUUUUAUUUUAAAAAUUAAUAGCGAACGGGUGAGUAAGAUACAGAAAAAAACCUUAGAAAAUUGUUUAAUUCAUGAAAAAAUUUAUUUUGUUCUAAGAAAAGUCUGUAUAAGAUUAAGUAGUUGGUGAAAGAAAAGUUUACCAAGCUUAUGAUCUUUAGUUGGUCUAUGAGGAUGAACAACCACAUUGGAACUGAGAAACGGUCCAGACUCUAAUAAGAGGCAGCAGUGAGGAAUUUUGGGCAAUGAGCGAAAGCUUGACCCAGCUAAGCCAUAUGUGUGAUUGACAGUAUAUAAUUGUAAAGCACUUUAUCUAAAUUUAAAUAAUGAUUUAAUUUAAAAAAAAGUCCUGGCUAAUUUCGUGCCAGCAGCCGCGGUAAAACGGGAAGGGCAAACGUUAUUCAGAUUAAUUGGGCGUAAAGUAUAUGUAGGUGGAAAAUUAGUUUUUUAAUUUAAAAUUUAGAGUUCAUUUUUAAAAAAAUUAUAAUAACAAUUUUCUAGAGUUUAAGUGAUGACUAUAGAAUUUUAAGUGUAACGGUAAAAUGUUUUGAUAUUUAGAAGAAUCUCAAUAGCGAAAGCAAUAGUCAAGAUUAAAACUGACACUGAGAUAUUAAAGCGUGGGUAGCAAAAGGGAUUAGAUACCCCUGUAGUCCACGCCCUGAACGAUGGGUGUUUAUUUUUGAUUAUUCAGAAAUGUAGUUAACACGUUUAACACCCCGCCUGGGAACUACGAUUGCAAAAUUAAAACUCAAAGGAAUUGACGGGGACUUACACAAGCAGUGGAGCAUGUGGUUUAAAUCGAUAAUACGCGCGAAAUCUUACCAAUUUUUGUAUUUUAUAACAGGUGUUGCAUGGCUGUCGUCAGUCCGUGCUGUGAAGCGUUUGGUUCAUUCCAACAAACGGACGAAACUCUUUUAUAUUAUAAAAUAUAUAUUGCUAAAGAUAUUUUAGAUGAAAGAAAGAAUGACGCCAAGUCCUCAUGACCCUAAUAAAUUGGGCUACUUCACGUGCUACAAUAGUUUUUCAAAAAGAAGCAAAAAUGUAAGUUUUAGCAAAUCUUCAAAAAAAUUGAGUUCGGAUUGUUUUCUGAAAUUCGAAAACAUUAAGUUGGAAUUGCUAGUAAUCGUAAAUAAGAAUGUUACGGUGAAUUUGUUCUUAGGUCUUGUACACACCGCCCGUCACGCUAUGGAAAUUGUUUUUAUUCGAAGAUUAAUAAAAAAUUUUAUUGAUUUAAAGUAAGAAAAGGACUGAAGUGAAGUCGUAACAAGGUAGUCGUAGGGGAACCUGUGGCUGGAAAAUAAAAUAAAGCUGCUACCU